CCAAGAACCCUUUAUUAUUAGCAGGCUGAACUAACCAACCGAAUACUCUUCCAGAACAAGUUAAGAAAACAUAAAAUGCCACAAUAGAAUGGACUUGGAUACACUCUCCAUUUGCAGUAUUAUAUAUUUAUUCAAUCCCCAGCUUCGGUUUGAAGAUCUGCAAAACGACUUCAUAAACCUCCGUUUGGUCACUUAAAGACUUGGAGACGCUCUCCUUUUGCAAGCAUCUCUCGCCCCACUCCACGAGCUUAGGGAACUCGGUGUUGGAAUAUUGCCAAUUAUGUGGCUGCCAUUGUCAAAGAAGAUGGCUGCCAUGUGAGAGUCAAAGAGGGCUGCUGAUGCAGCAUUUGCAGCCCCUUGACAUUGUCAAAGAAGGAGGCUACAAUGGUGGGUUGUUGGUGGCAGCCAACAACCAUUGUCCAAUGUCAAAGUUUGGUAAGUUUGGCAGCCACCAUUGUUGACAAAGGAGCAAGAGGAGCUGUCAUUGAAGCCUAUAAAUAGACACCAAGAGUGCAGCAUAAAGAGAGAGAGAGAGCAAGAACAAAAGAGAGAAGAAGAGAGAAAGAAAGAGAAGGGUUGCCACCAGCAGCCCUGCUGCCAUAUGCAGCUGCUGCCCUAUGUAGCAAUGAGAGAUGGGAGUUGAGUGGAUGUGAUCCUCCUCCGUGUGUUGUAUUCUUUCUCUAUCUCUAAUAAUAUUGAUCUCACCCGUGGAUGUAGGCGAUUAGCCGAACCACGUUAAAUAUUGUGUCAGUGUGCUUUACCUCCUAUGAGCAAAUAUCAGAACAUCACCGGUCGGAAUUCCCUAAAAUUGGUAUCAGAGCUUAUGGUUUAAAGUGGUGUUUGAUUUUUUGCUUAAAAAUGAAAGUUGUCAAAAUUAUGUUUUGACCAUACCAUUGUGUA
rnacentral:lncRNA from 1 species